rnacentral:rRNA from 1 species
GAUGAACGCUCGCGAUAGGCUUAACACAUGCAAGUCGAGGGGCAGCACAAGGUAGCUUGCUAUCUGGGUGGCGACCGGCGCACGGGUGCGUAACGCGUAUGCAACUUGCCCUAUACAGGAGGAUAACCCAUCGAAAGACGGACUAAUACUGCGUAUGCUCACAACUUGGCAUCAAGUGGUGAGGAAAGAAAUUCGGUAUAGGAUAGGCAUGCGUCCCAUUAGCUUGUUGGUGAGGUAACGGCUCACCAAGGCAACGAUGGGUAGGGGAACUGAGAGGUUUAUCCCCCACACUGGUACUGAGACACGGACCAGACUCCUACGGGAGGCAGCAGUGAGGAAUAUUGGUCAAUGGGCGCGAGCCUGAACCAGCCAAGUCGCGUGAAGGAGGACUGUCUUAUGGAUUGUAAACUUCUUUUAUACGGGAAUAACAAUAGUCACGUGUGACUCCCUGCAUGUACCGUAUGAAUAAGCAUCGGCUAACUCCGUG